ACUUAGAUGUAAUACUGUUGAUGCGCUGACAUGUCUUACGCAGAAAUGUCUUAAUAUAUUCAUCUGAUUUUUUUUUAUCUUCUUCAUUUUCUUCAAUUUAUAACUUCCAUUUUGUGUGUUCCUCAAUUAUUAUUUUUUACCUGUUUUUUUUAAAUGUUUUUUUUUGUCUUCAAAUAUUGUAUCAUAUUUCCUACUAACGUGUAUGUAUUUAAAGCACACUGAGAAUGCUCUGAUGUGUAUCUGUCUACGACCCCCCUCCUCCCAUCAGUUAGCCUCGCUCCCUCCCUCUCUCUUUAGUAUAAUGUCAUGUUUGACAACGGUAGUUUUUUCCAAACAUGUGGAUGUAUUUAAGCACAGUGUACUAGAUAGAAUGUAUGCUCCCUGGUCCCUGUCGAUAGGUGGAGUUUGACAACUGAUCUGAUUGCUGUAAAUAGCUUAAGUGAAGACUUGUGGCAUUAGAUCUGUUUGCGGAUGGCUUCAACCAUGCCAAUGGACAGACAGGGCAGGCAUCAAAGUACCUAACACGUAGAGGAACAACAGCUUUGUAAAAAAACACUUUUUAAACCUGUCCCAAAUGGAACCCCAUAUAUAGUGCACUACUUGUGACCAGGGCCCAUAGGCUUCCAUUUGGGACACAGUAUUUGUCACUUUGUUUAGUCAGUCAGUCUGUGGCAGGUUAGCUUAGCAUGUUAUGAUGAUGAUGAUGACGAUGUCACUUCAUGGCACCGAUUUGCUGCCUCGCAUGUUAUUUUUAUCUUGGUUUAAAAGAUGACUGAGUUAUCGUAACUCUCUGACUGAGUUAUCAGAACUCUCUGACUGAGUUAUCGGUACUCUCUGACUGAGUUAUCGGUACUCUCUGACUGAGUUAUCGGUACUCUCUGACUGAGUUAUCGGUACUCUCUGACUGAGUUAUCGGUACUCUCUGACUGAGUUAUCGGUACUCUCUGACUGAGUUAUCGGUACUCUCUGACUGAGUUAUCGGUACUCUCUGACUGAGUUAUCGGUACUCUCUGACUGAGUUAUCGGAACUCUCUGACUGAGUUAUCGGAACUCUCUGACUGAGUUAUCGGAACUCUCUGACUGAGUUAUCGGAACUCUCUGACUGAGUUAUCGGUACUCUCUGACUGAGUUAUCGGUACUCGCUGACUGAGUUAUCGGUACUCUCUGACUGAGUUAUCGUAACUCUCUGACUGAAUUUAUCACUGAGUUAUCGUAACUCUCUGACUGAGUUAUCGUAACUCUCGGACUGAAUUUAUCACUGAGGUAUCAGGACUCUCUGACUGAGUUAUCAGAACUCUCUGACUGAAUGUGGAACACUACCAUUGCCCAGAGCAUGCAGUUGGCUAGACGGUGACCGUGGUGAAAUAACAUAGAAGUUUAUCCAUUAAACAUCUCUGAACUCUCUUGGAUAAAUUGAGCGUACAUAGUUACAGACGUCUUUAAAAACAUAGUCGGAGAUGUCUGUAUCAGGAAGUGACUAGCAUUAUAGUCAGUCAGGGAGGUCAUUCCAUUUCAAUUCAGAAAAUAAACCAUAAUUCCAAUUGCACAUUUUCCUCAUUGGAAAAACAUGGGAGAGAAUAGUGUAUUUCUGUUUUACUUUGUGAAUGGACUGGAAUUGAAAGAGCAUUAGUAGUCAGUCAAAUUACACAUUAGGUUCUUAUUUUCAACGUGAUCAAACUACAGAAUAAUGAUACCCACUGUAGUGUUCUGGCCAAACCAACUUUAAAUCAAGUCAAAUCACAUUUUAUUUGUCACAUACACAUGUAUAGGAGAUGUUAUUGCGGUUGGAGUGAAAUGCUUGUGCAACAGCGCAAUAAUAGCGAAUGAUACACACAAUUUAAAAGUGAAAGAAUGGAAUUAAGGAAUAUAAAAGUAUUAGGAUGAGCAAGGUCAGAGUGGCAUAGAUUAAAAUACAGUAGAAUAGAAUACAGUAUAUACAUAUGAGAUGAGUAAAGCAGAAAAUAUGUAAACAUUAUAAAAUAUGUUAACAACAUAUAGACUAACCAACACAUUCUAGGUAUUUCUCUUCAAGUAAUAACUUCUCUUGAAUAUGCAUGUAUACAUCUAGUGUAAAUGUGAUGCUAUACUAUAUUCUAUGCAGCCGACAGUCAGAUACCAGAGAAUAUUAAUUAAUGUAUUUUAUUUGACGAAAUAUCAAAAUGUGAAAAGAAUAAAUAAAUAAUAUGAAAUGAAUUGCUGACAAGAGACGAUUCAAUAGGAAUCAUGGUGGUCAUCUAGUCUUGUACUGCUGGUCUAGGAAUCAUGGUGGUCAUCUAGUCUUGUACUGCUGGUCUAGGAAUCAUGAUGGUCAUCUAGUCUUGUACUGCUGGUCUAGGAAUCAUGAUGGUCAUCUAGUCUUGUACUGCUGGUCUAGGAAUCAUGGUGGUUAUCUAGUCUUGUACUGCUGGUCUAGGAAUCAUGAUGGUCAUCUAGUCUUGUACUGCUGGUCUAGGAAUCAUGAUGGUCAUCUAAUCUUGUACUGCUGGUCUAGGAAUCAUGGUGGUCAUCUAGUCUUGUACUGCUGGUCUAGGAAUCAUGGUGGUCAUCUAGUCUUGUACUGCUGGUCUAGGAAUCAUGGUGGUCAUCUAGUCUUGUACUGCUGGUCUAGGAAUCAUGAUGGUCAUCUAGUCUUGUACUGCUGGUCUAGGAAUCAUGAUGGUCAUCUAGUCUUGUACUGCUGGUCUAGGAAUCAUGAUGGUCAUCUAGUCUUGUACUGCUGGUCUAGGAAUCAUGGUGGUCAUCUAGUCUUGUACUGCUGGUCUCGUUAUGACACGUCUUCAUAAUCAGAAUGUCUAUCAGUUUUCAUUCAUGUCAAGAAGCAUCUGUUAGUAAAACAUCAUUUUUUUAAAUACAUAGAUUAAAUCUUUGUCCCAAAUGUCACCCUAUUCCCUAUUAGUUCACUACCGUUGACCAGGCCCAUAGGGCUUUUGUGAAAAGUAGUGCACUACAUAGGGAAUAGGGCUCUGGUCUAUAGUAGUACCACUAUAUAGGGAAUAGGGCUCUGGUCUAUAGUAGUACCACUAUAUAGGGAAUAGGGCUCUGGUCUAUAGUAGUACCACUAUAUAGGGAAUAGGGCUCUGGUCUAUAGUAGUACCACUAUAUAGGGAAUAGGGCUCUGAUCUAAAGUUGUGCACUAGAUAGGGAAUAGGAAGACACAUCCAUAUACUGGGUCACAUUAUUUAGGUUAGCUGCUGUUCACUCUCAGUGCCUCCCUCUACCACUCAUUAAAAUCCAAUAACUCUACACCCAUCUAACAUAGAACGUUCCUACUAACCACCUCUACUCCCAUCUACCAUAGAACGUUCCUACUGGCCAACUAACCACCUCUACUCUCAUCUACCAUAGAACGUUCCUACUAACCACCUCUACUCCCAUCUACCAUAGAACGUUCCUACUGGCCAACUAACCACCUCUACUCCCAUCUACCAUAGAACGUUCCUACUGGCCAACUAACCACCUCUACUCUCAUCUACCAUAGAACGUUCCUACUAACCACCUCUACUCCCAUCUACCAUAGAACGUUCC
ensembl:lncRNA